GCUUGACAGACAGACCCCUGAGUCUCAAAGGACACUUUGAUGCCGCCCAUGGAUUUCCCCGUAUGCUGCACCGACACAUGGCACGGGAGAAAUGAGAAGAGUCCAUGCUG